rnacentral:rRNA from 1 species
AACGCGAAGAACCUUACCUACCCUUGACAUCCUCGGAACCUGGUAGAGAUAUUGGGGUGCCUUCGGGAGCCGAGAGACAGGUGCUGCAUGGCUGUCGUCAGCUCGUGUCGUGAGAUGUUGGGUUAAGUCCCGUAACGAGCGCAACCCUUAUCCUUAGUUGCCAACAGGUAGAGCUGGGAACUCUAGGGAGACUGCCGGUGACAAGCCGGAGGAAGGCGGGGAUGACGUCAAGUCCUCAUGGCCCUUACGGGUAGGGCCACACACGUGUUACAAUGGACAGUACAAAGGGAAGCGAAGCUGUGAAGUGGAGCGAAUCUUAUAAAAGCUGUUCGUAGUCCGGAUUGGAGUCUGCAAUUCGACUCCAUGAAGUUGGAAUCGCUAGUAAUCGUGGAUCAGAACGCCACGGUGAAUACGUUCCCGGGCCUUGUACACACCGCGAGC